rnacentral:lncRNA from 1 species
AUAUUUUAUCAGAGCUGAAAUUGAAAGAAAUUUCUAGCGCAGAUGGCUGAGGUGGCUUGUGACGCAGGGCGGCAGGGCCGUGGCUAAGUCCUGUCUGCGUGUAUGGAGCCGGGCGCCUGUCCGUCUCCAAAUGCAGGAGAACCCUGCCCCACCCCAGCCCAGAAUGGAUGCUCACGCGUGAGGCUCUUUCCACCCUCCCUCUCCCUGCUGCCUGCCGCCUCCCUCCUUGGCUGUUAGGGCUUCCUGAGCUGACUGCUUGGGGGACAUGGAGACUCCCAGGAAACAAAAGCAAGAAGGGAAAGAAUGGGCUGCAGCUUCUGUGGGCGCGGAGGGCGGAGUCUGGAAGUAAAGACCAGCUCUUCCGCAGCCCUGGGCCGGAGCACUGGGGCGGAUCGCAAUCCCCAGACGCCGGGAGAUCGCCGCGGGCCUUAGUGACAGCUAACUCCCAGGAAGCCAGCCAGUGUCGGGUGCUGUGUGUGGACCGCCCAGAUGAUGACCACCUUCAGAGGUGGGCACUGUUCCACAAAUUUUCCAGGCGGGACAACCAAGGGACCCUCCCACGGUGAGGCCGUGCGGAUCUCGUUUUGGCCAGGCUGUUCUCCUGGCUCGCGGCCAGGAAUCUUCAGAGCCAGUAGCAGCACGGCGAAAGGAAACUUCUGGUGUGUUUGUGUGGCAGGUAAUUGUGGUGUCAACAUGAAGAAGAAAGGCCUAGCCAAGGGGCUGGCAUGGUUCUAGGUGUGUGUGGACGCCUGACUUCCUGAAGAGGAGAGACCCACCCGGACGUGGGUGGCACCAGCCAACAGGCUUGUAACUUGGACCGACACAAAGGGAAAGAAGGAGGCAAAAUCUUCCUCACUGUGUCUCUACAACUCUGUUAGCCUAUCCUUGGCUUUUUGUUUUUCCAGGAGUUUCUCAUGAAAGACCAAUUGACAGUGACAUACCUGAGAAUCAUGCUGAUUUGCAGCCAGAGUAAUUCCACUGACUUGUGUCUUAUUGAAAAGUUUUUUAUGCUAAUACUUGGUCAUGAAAUAAAUUACAUUUUCUUCUGUAGGCCUCGACUUUUGCCUUUCAUGUUUAGGUUUAAUCCACCUGGAGCUACCCCACCUCUGCCCUUCCUCCCUCAAUGCCACACAGACCC